UCCCUGGUCGCUCAGUGGUAAAGAAUCUGCCUGCAAUGCAGGAGACACAGGUUCAAUCCCUGAGUUGGGAA
rnacentral:tRNA from 1 species